rnacentral:rRNA from 1 species
CGGUAAUUACGGUACGGUAUUUCGGUGCCCACCCCUACUACCAGUAGUCAUAUGCUUCAAACUGUGAAACUGCGAAUGGCUCAUUAAAUCAGUUAUAGUUUGUUUGAUGAUACCUCACUACUCAGAUAACCGUAGUAAUUCUAGAGUUAAUAUGUGCAACAAACCCCGACCUUCGGAAGGGAUGCAUUUAUUAGAUAAAAGGCCAAUGCGGGCUCUGCCCGUUGCUCGGAUGAUUCAUCAUAACUUGACCGAUCGCACGACCACUGUGCCGGUGAUGCAUCAUUCAAAUUUCUGCCCUAUCAACUUUCGAUGGUAGGAUAGAGGCCUACCAUGGUGGUGACGGAUGACUGAGAAUUAGGGUUCAAUUCUGGAGAGGGAGCCUGAGAAACGGCUACCACAUCCAAGGAAGGCAGCAUGUGCGCAAAUUACCCAAUCCUGACACAAGGAGGUAGUGAUAAUAAAUAACAAUACCGGGCUCUUUGAGUUUGGUAAUUGGAAUGAGUACAAUCUAAAUCCCUUAACGAGGAUCCAUUGGAGGGCAAGUUUGGUGCCAGCAGUCGCGGUCCGCCUUCUAGGUGUGCACCGAUCGCUCGUCCCUUCUACCGGCGAUAAGCUCUUGGCCUUAACUGGCCGGGUCGUGCCUCCGACGCUGUUACUUUGAAGAAAUUAGAGUACUCAAAGUAAGCCUGCACUAUGUAUACAUUAGUAUGGGAUAACAUCAUAAGAUUUUGGUCAUAUUGUGUUGGCCUUCGGGAUCGGAGUAAUGAUUAACAAGGACAGUCAGAGGUAUUCGUAUUUCAUAGUCAGCGGUGAAAUUCUUGGAUUUAUGAAAUACGAACAACUACGAAAGCAUUUGCCAAGGAUGUUUUCAUUAAUCAAGAAUGAAAGUUGGAGGCUCGAAGACGAUCAAAUACCGUCCUAGUCUCAACCAUAAACGAUGCCGACCAGGGAUUGAUGGAUGUUGCUCAUUGGACUUCGCCAGCACCUUAUGAGAAAUCAAACUCUUUGGGUUCCUAGGGGAGUAUGGUCGCAAGGCUAAAACUUAAAGGAAUUGACGGAAGGGAACCACCAGGAGUGGAGCAUGUGGCUUAAUUUGACUCAACACGGGGAAAUUGACCAGGUCCAGACAUAGAAAGGAUUGACAGACUGAGAGCUCUUUCUUGAUUCUAUGGGUGGUCGUGCAUGGCCGUUCUUAGUUGGUGGAGCGAUUUGUCUGGUUAAUUUCGUUAACGAACCAGACCUCGGCCUACUAACCAGCUAUGCAGAGGUAUCCCUCCACGGCCAGCUUUUUAGAGGGACUAUGGCCUUCCAGGCUAAAGAAGUUUGAGGUAAUUGAUUGCCUGUCGAGAGCACCAAAAAUAGUUGUAAUUAUGAAUGCAAAGAUGGGGUAAGGAAUACAACUUAACACGUCCACAAGGACUUGUAGAUUCUUCAUUAAGCCUAAGAGUGAUCAAGUAUUGGGAUUAAUGGGAACCGGUUUGUUAAAACAGAGAUUGAUAGGAUUACAAAUGGGGAGAUUAUGAAGAACAUUUUGAUCUCACGAAUAUAAGAAUUGGCUCACUCAACCCUUACCAAGAACUAUGAAUUUAGCUCCGAGACAUUCUCAUAGAAGAAUGUAGACAAAUG